rnacentral:rRNA from 1 species
GAUGAACGCUGGCGGCGUGCCUAAUACAUGCAAGUAGAACGCUGAAGGAGGAGCUUGCUCUUCUGGAUGAGUUGCGAACGGGUGAGUAACGCGUAGGUAACCUGCCUGGUAGCGGGGGAUAACUAUUGGAAACGAUAGCUAAUACCGCAUGACAACAGUUAUUGCAUGAUAACUGUUUAAAAGGGGCAACUGCUCCACUACCAGAUGGACCUGCGUUGUAUUAGCUAGUUGGUGAGGUAACGGCUCACCAAGGCGACGAUACAUCGCCGACCUGAGAGGGGGAUCGGCCACACUGGGACUGAGACACGGCCCAGACUCCUACGGGAGGCAGCAGUAGGGAAUCUUCGGCAAUGGACGGAAGUCUGACCGAGCAACGCCGCGUGAGGGAAGAAGGUUUUCGGAUCGUAAAGCUCUGUUGUAAGAGAAGAACGAGUGUGAGAGUGGAAAGUUCACACUGUGACGGUAUCUUACCAGAAAGGGACGGCUAACUACGUG